GGAUGGCACCAAAUUAGAAAGCUUCACAGUGAAGGAAAAAUUAAAAAUGUGAAGAGAGAACCUACAGAAUGGCAGAAAAUGUUAGCCACCUGCUCCUCUGAUAGGGCAUUAAUAUCCAGAAUAUACAAAGAACUCAAAAAACUUAACACCAAAAAAAUCAAAUAAACCAAUCAGUAAAUCGCCAAAAGAACUAAAUAGACACUUCUCAAAAGAAGAGAAACAAAUAGUCGACAAAUAUAUGAAAAAAAAUUAUCAACACUUUUAGCAAUCAGGGAAAUGCAAAUUAAAACUACACUGAGAUUUCAUCUCACUCCAAUCAGAAUGGCAAUUAUCAAGAAUACAAAUAACAAUAAAUGUUGGUAAGGAUGUGGGAUCAAUUUUAUGUGUUCCUUAUUUUGUUACUGAUUACUGACACAAUUACAACUAAUAAACAUUUCAAAUGUGUUUUCAGUCCUCCUAUUAACAGCAUGUCAGUGAAUAAUGACAAUAGACCAUGGAAUACAUAGAAUACAACUACAUAUUAGUAUGUCAGUAAUCAGUGAAAUAGUAAGUUGAAAAAUUGCUUACAUUACAAAAUAUACUACUACCAUUCAGAGCAAUUUCAUUACUUAUUCCAUAUCUCAAAUAAUGCUACUGACAAAUAAUAUUGAACAUAGAUCCUAGAACAUAAAUAAUAGUGAAAAAUUAAUCACUAGCAUAUGUAUAUAUUUGAUGAUUGAGUCCUAUUUGGUAUGACUCUGCAAUACUAUGGGCAGUUACUAUGUAAUAAAAGUGUCUUCAUUCCACACUUUGAUAUUAUUUAAAGUCUAUAGCUCUUCCAGAAGUUAGGAUUAGUGAGACUAGGUAAUGUGCCAAUUCCUAAAAUCUGUGUUUUAAAAAAAUAACAAUAAAGUAAAUCUCAAAUGUCAUCAAUGAAUCUUUCACUUUUCUAAAUGUAACUGAAGUAGAUUUAUAAAAUAUGACUAUUCCAACAACAUAGGAGUCAUUAAAUAAUUUCAAGUUAAUAAAGAAUCAAUGAGAAAAAAAUUCAUCUAUCACCAUACAUCCAUCACCAUUAUCAAAGGGAAGCAACUUGCCCCACUGCUUAGGUUUCCCAACAAAACAUCAAGUAUUUCCCUUUAGUUGACUUCUCCUUUCAGAUAUAGUCUAUGGCACCCAAUGGAAAAAUGAGUACAAAUAGGCAGGUACCACCUAUUACUUAAUUCAAUACAGUAGCACAUGAGGCAAUGAGGCACAGUCAGCAUUUGUGGACAAAAAAGCAGACACAGCACUCUUGCUAAUGGAGAAGGAGUUGCAUGUUCCUGCAGUUCACAUUCCCACCAGUCUAACCUCUGACCAUUCCUAUCCUCCUUACCUGUAAACAUUAAACAGAAACUACACAAAUCUUUUUUAAUGAUAAGAAUACUUGGAAAGGAAGACCUAGGCCAUAAGACAUAUUCUAUGCUUGUAUAAUUAUGUCAAAAUGGAAUCUACUGUCAUGCAUAACUAAAAAGAACCAAUAUAAAAAAAUGCAUGCUAGGUGCAGUGGCACAUGCCUGUAAUCCCAGCAGCUUAGAAGGCUGAGGCAGGAGGAUUGGGAGUUUGAAGACAGCAUCAGCAAUUUAGUGAGGCCCUAAGCAAUGUAGCAAGACCC
rnacentral:lncRNA from 1 species